GACGAACGCUGGCGGCGCGCUUAACACAUGCAAGUCGAACGGAAAGGCCUGCUUUCCCUUGUGGAUUGCGGGUACUCGAGUGGCGAACGGGUGAGUAACACGUGAGUGAUCUGCCCCCAACUUGGGUAUAAGCCUGGGAAACUGGGUCUAAUUCCCGAUAGGACUGCAGGGUGGUGCCUGUGGUGGAAAACGAUUUUCUAGUGGUUGGGGAUGAGCUCGCGGCCUAUCAGCUUGUUGGUGGGGUAAUGGCCUACCAAGGCGGCGACGGGUAGCCGGCCUGAGAGGGUGGACGGCCACAUUGGGACUGAGAUACGGCCCAGACUACUACGGGAGGCAGCAGUGGGGAAUAAUGGACAAUGGGCGGAAGCCUGAUGCAGCGACGCCGCGUGGGGGAUGACGGCCUUCGGGUUGUAAACUCCUUUCGACCGCGAGGAAGCCACCUGGUUGGAAGGGUGGUGACGGUAGUGGUAGAAGAAGCACCGGCUAACUACGUG
rnacentral:rRNA from 1 species